rnacentral:rRNA from 1 species
GUAGGCAGCAAGCGUUGUUCGGAGUUACUGGGCGUAAAGGGUGUGUAGGCGGCCUUCUAAGUUUGGUGUGAAAUCUCCCGGCUCAACCGGGAGGGUGCGCCGAAGACUGGGGGGCUAGAGUGCGGUAGAGGAGAGUGGAAUUCCCGGUGUAGCAGUGAAAUGCGUAGAGAUCGGGAGGAACAUCAGUUGCGAAGGCGGCUCUCUGGACCAGCACUGACACUGAGGCACGAAAGCGUGGGGAGCAAACAGGAUUAGAUACCCUGGUAGUCCACGCCCUAAACGAUGCGAACUGGACGUUGGGAGCAAUCAGGCUCUCAGUGUCGAAGCUAACGCGUUAAGUUCGCCGCCUGGGGAGUACGGUCGCAAGACUG